GACGAACCGUGCAAACGUUAUUCGGAAUCACUGGGCUUAAAGGGCGCGUAGGCGGGCAGGCAAGUCAGGGGUGAAAGCCCACGGCUCAACCGUGGAAGUGCCUUUGAUACUGCCUUUCUCGAGGGAGGUAGGGGCGUGCGGAACUUCCGGUGGAGCGGUGAAAUGCGUAGAUAUCGGAAGGAACACCGGUGGCGAAAGCGGCGCGCUGGACCUCUUCUGACGCUGAGGCGCGAAAGCCAGGGGAGCAAAGCGGG
rnacentral:rRNA from 1 species